CGUUAGUAACGCGUGGGAAUAUACCCUUCACUAUGGAAUAGCCUCGGGAAACUGAGAGUAAUACCAUAUACGCCCUUCGGGGGAAAGAUUUAUCGGUGAAGGAUUAGCCCGCGUAAGAUUAGAUAGUUGGUGGGGUAAUGGCCUACCAAGCCUACGAUCUAUAGCUGGUUUGAGAGGAUGAUCAGCCACACUGGGACUGAGACACGGCCCAGACUCCUACGGGAGGCAGCAGUAGGGAAUCUUAGACAAUGGGGGAAACCCUGAUCUAGCCAUGCCGCGUGUGUGAUGAAGGCCUUAGGGUCGUAAAGCACUUUCGCCAGAGAUGAUAAUGACAGUAUCUGGUAAAGAAACCCCGGCUAACUCCGUGCCAGCAGCCGCGGUAAUACGGAGGGGGUUAGCGUUGUUCGGAAUUACUGGGCGUAAAGCGCACGUAGGCGGAUUAGUAAGUUAGAGGUGAAACCCCAGGGCUCAACCCUGGAACUGCCUUUAAUACUGCUAGUCUUGAGUUCGAGAGAGGUAAGUGGAAUUCCGAGUGUAGAGGUGAAAUUCGUAGAUAUUCGGAGGAACACCAGUGGCGAAGGCGGCUUACUGGCUCGAUACUGACGCUGAGGUGCGAAAGUGUGGGGAGCAAACAGGAUUAGAUACCUUGGUAGUCCACACCGUAAACGAUGAAUGCCAGACGUCAGCAAGUAUACUG
rnacentral:rRNA from 1 species